rnacentral:snRNA from 1 species
AUUUUGUUUCGAAAGAGA